ensembl:lincRNA
AUGUGCACGGGAUGCAUCCCAGGGGACAAAGCCCGUGUCCGGUUCAGAGGGCGCCUACCUCUUCCUUCUGGGCAGGGAGUAGAGGCCCAAAUCCGUUCGCCUCUGCACCAGCUGGCCCUCGGUGCCCAGUGGGAGUGGAGACAACCGAGCAUCUUCUUGCCCCAUUCGAGCCCUGGGACACCACGCCUGGGACCUCGUUGUGCUCUUCCGCCCCUCUGCUGGGCAGCUUGGGGCUGUUCCUGCCCACGUGGUCCCGGCAGCAGGCUGGUGGGCUUCGCCUCCAGACUCUCAGGGGGCACGGUCUUGCUCCGGGCUCCAGGCUGGAAGACGGAGGUCGUGGGGAGCCACUCAUGUAAUUGACCUGCAACGUGAAGUUGAACUUGGAGUGUUCCUGCAUCCUUCAUGUCCUUUGUGGUCUUCUACCAUCUUCGUUCCCCGGAGAAAGGGCAAGAGAGGGCUGGUGGUCCUUCCGGAGGGAAGCUUGGGGCUCCCGGUAGUGCCCUUCCCAGCACCUAAGGCAAGGCUCUCGGGUAUACGUUGAAUGAACGCACGAAACAAGCAGUCUCCGGCCUCCCCCUCUGCUCCUGGCUAGCAGGAGUGCCCAGCACGCUCUCGUUUAUAAGCAUGUCCAGCUCCAACCCCAUGUUCGUGCUGUGCAGCACUGUGGUGCUUUUCCGGUCUAGAACGAGGACAAGGAAAACCCUCGUUUCUUUACACUUCUUCAAGCUGGCGUCUCUCCUUUGAACUAGACAUUCUUGACGGGACCUUCUGAUCACAUCUUUAUGGAGUGGGAGACGCUGAGGGGACCAUAAAGCCAUUCGAAUGCCACCCUUGUCCCACAUGCAGUCCCAUCGCAGAGGCGCAGGUGGGCCUGGGGGCGAGAGGGAGGAGCUGGCCGACUCGGGGCGGGGUCUCUGUGUCUCUCAGCGAGGCCAGAAGGAAUCCAGAGGUAAGCAAGAGAGGUCUCCGGGCAGUGAUGUUAUUUGCUGCAACCCGGAGGUAAGAUAAUAACAUGAGUAAUUUAAGCCCCAGGCUCCAGGUUGGAAUCUACAAGCAAUAAGAAAGGAAGGGGAGGGGAGGGGAGGGAGGGGACGGGGAGGCAGGGGUGUCUGGGCAAUGAGACAAGGAGAGAAGAGUGUCCGGCAAAGGCAGCGCCGUGUGUAAAGCUCAGAGAAACGCAGAGUGAGCAGAGUAAGGAACCGGGAGCCCGAAGGAAGUGAAAAGCCCACAGAGGCAGCUUUCAGGGGUGAAGGCAGCCGCUCCCCUGAGCCAGCUUCUACUUGGGCACCAGAUCUGGUUUUUAUAUUGUCGGUAAUUUGGGCGACUGGUUGCUAGAUGGAGCCUUGUAAAAGAAAUCCAAUGAUAGAAACUCACAAUUAGAGAAAUUUGGUCCAACAGGAUGAUCCGAAAAACUCGAAACUCCCCACUGACUAAUUAUUUCGCUACAUUUGACUAGUAGCUGCACUCUUGAGAUAAUUUGUAUUUCUUGCCUCUGGAUGCUGGAAACAUUCUAUAAUGGUGGCCACCACACCUUUCUUCCCAGCUCGCUGCUCCAUGAGCUCAUGCUGUUUGUCUGAAAUUGGCUGCGCUAUGAGGAUUUACACCAUGGAAAUUGGCAAACUCUACAAAUCACGGCUUGAUUUAUGGGGUGUUGCUGAUUGUCUAGACUCAAGAAAGCAGUAGAGAGAACAUUAAUCAUACAGGUUCGGCUUUCAACGGGCUUAUUGCCAUGACACUGUGAAGGUCACAGAACGAUUGUCAAAUUAGGGUUGGUGAAUCACAGCACAGGUCGACUACAGAUACAAGAGCUCGGUGGAGAUUGGCAAAGGCAUUCUGAGUACCCGUUGGCUACAGGGAAUUCGCAAUAAGGACUAAUGUAUACUUCAUUAUUAUUAGUUAGUUGGUGCCCCACACUCUUUAUGUUGGUAAAACCUAUAAUAAACACACACGUGCACACUCGUUUGUUUUUCCACGAGCGGCUGGUCCCACAUUUAUCAGCACAGCAGAGUCCUUGGGCGACAUCAGGUGUAGCGGCUUCCUGGUGGGUGAAGGGACUGGGAGCACAGAGGGAGCAGUAAUCACAUUAGGUUUUCGGACACUGGUUUGACGGGGAGGACAGACAGGGAGAAGGCUCUGACAGAUGCCCCAUGCCGCGUGUGUGUGGCAGUGGUGGCCAGGAGGACACAGUGCGCAAGAAGGCCAUGGCCCAGCCGGGAUCGCAGCCCGUUGCUGGCUCUCACAGCCAAGGUGAAGUCCUCAGCUACCACCCUGGGCUCCUUAACACAAGUCUCUCAGGAGCAUGAGCCAUCCUCUGGGGACGUCGGCUAACCCAG